CUUAGGAAUGAUCUGAGUUAUUUAGAAGGGUCCCUGCAAGCAUGCUCCUCAAGGAAGGAGAAGAUGUUUUCCUUUGGGACCACCACAUGCUGUUUUACUAUGCUCUGAGCUAUGAAGCAGAAUAAAUAAUGACAGCUUGCUGUUUUUCUCCGAAGCUACACUGUGACGCCAACACUCCGACUGACCUAGAGAUGUCUGACAUGGGCCAACACAAAAGAAAGUGCAGCUAUGACCUGUUAACAAACCAUUCAUCCAUUUUAUUUAUUGAUCUUUUGUUUGACAGUAGCAGAACCACUGUUGUAUCGAGUAGGGUAAGGUGUUGUUUAAAUGAAAACAGAACUUUUAAAGUUUGAAGAAAUAAUUUUUUUAAAUGGAUCAUGACAAUGAUCAGUGUUGACUGAUUUGAGCAUUUUUAUCCUAAUGUUUUAGGCCACAUGUCAAGCCCUGCGAUCAACAGCGAAACGUGCAUCAAGGGUUGACCUAACAAGUGAAAGAUCCCGGUUCGAUCCCAGAAGGAGACAAAUCCCUUUGGGGUUGUGUCAGGAAGGGCAUUAAAAAUAAUACCAAGUAAAAGAUGCAGUUACUGUAGCGACUCUUUGUAAAUAAGGGGGCAGCUAAAAGUAGCUUUAAUUUUUUGCAGGUUAGGACAGUUUAAUUUUUUUUCCCUUUUAAUACGUAUGAAUUAACGAGGUCCUUCAGUUAUUCAAUCAACUGGUAAGCUAAAGGCAAAGGCUACUUUAUUAUAACAUCGCAUCUAUCAGGGAGAGAAGGCCAUCACAAUGUUUUUAUAGCGUAAUACGAAGUCAUCCAACAUUUCGGUGUACACUAAAUAUCGGUAGCUCUUACUGGGUGGAGAUAACCUAGCCGUUAAUAGUGCGCCAAACGUGUUUUGUGUUGUCACCGAAUCCUGAUACAUGCGUGUGUUUUUGUUUUCCAGCAGACGGACUUGGCGGGUUUGUUGCUAUUGUGUCCUGAUGCUUGUUUUAGAGGGUUUAUCAUCAACCUGGGUUUCUACUAACGGCUAGCUUGGUUAAGUAGUGCACUUUGGUGCUCAGACAUAUUUUCUGACAUGUAUAACGAGGAAUGCCACAAUAACAGCGCUCCCUCAUACUGUGCGCACUUUUAUAUCGGCCUGUGUGUUUACACUGAGAAAUGUUUAACUUGGCAUGACACAGCUAGCUACCCACUGGAACUGUUAGCAUUUAUCUGAAAGGGAAAACGUAAAACAGCUGUAAGCCAACGGUGAGGCCAGCUUACGUUAGCCACAUGCUAAAUACACUGGCAUGUGUUUGGCUACCGUGUGGACCUGCAGUGUUGGGGAAAAGGUGCUUGUCCUUGACCUCAUGGCCACCACUCCAAGAGGCACCAGGGGCGAGUGUUCAGUUUUUUGAACCAGAACUAUGUGGGACACACCUGGGCUGAACUGGUGCAGGCCGUGCAGGAGCAGGUGAGGAGCAGCAGUUUAGACCUGAAGAGGGCGCUGCAGAGCUGUGGAGCCGCUGUCCUCGGUGCUCACGGAGAGACCUCAUACAGUUACGGUGCAGAUACAGUUGGGAGAAAAAGCCACCUGACAGCAGACAUCUUUGUCAUUGCUACAGGAGAGAGACCGCAGUAUCUUGGCAUACCAGGGGACAGAGAGUACUGCCUAACUAGCUCAACUAACACACUAACUCUACAGCAAAAAAACAUCUAAAAUGUAUUGACCAUCACCUUAAAAUACAUUUCCUUCUUUCCUUCUACCUU